GGUUCAGGACGAACGCUGGCGGCGUGCCUAAUACAUGCAAGUCGAACGGUCUUUCUAUGGAAGCUUGCUUCACCUGAGAAGAUAGUGGCGAACGGGUGAGUAACACGUGGGUAACCUGCCCAUAAGAGGGGGGAUAACAUCCGGAAACGGGUGCUAAUACCGCAUAGUUUUCUUGAUCGCAUGAUUGAGAAAGGAAGACGGCCUUUGUGCUGUCGCUUAUGGAUGGACCCGCGGCGUAUUAGUUAGUUGGUGAGGUAACGGCUCACCAAGACGAUGAUACGUAGCCGACCUGAGAGGGUGAUCGGCCACAUUGGGACUGAGACACGGCCCAAACUCCUACGGGAGGCAGCAGUAGGGAAUCUUCCGCAAUGGACGAAAGUCUGACGGAGCAACGCCGCGUGAGUGAAAGAAGGUUUUCGGAUCGUAAAACUCUGUUGUCAGAGAAGAACAAGUUGGAGAGUAACUGCUCCAGCCUUGACGGUAUCUGACCAGAAAGCCACGGCUAACUACGUGCCAGCCGCCGC
rnacentral:rRNA from 1 species